UACGUAGGAGACGAGCGUUGUCCGGAAUUACUGGGCGUAAAGCGCGUGUAGGCGGAUGGGCAAGUCUGCUGUGAAAGCUCCUGGCUUAACCGGGAGUGGUCGGUGGAAACUGCCAAUCUGGAGGACGGUAGAGGUAGGUAGAAUUCCCGGUGUAGUGGUGAAAUGCGUAGAGAUCGGGAGGAAUACCUGUGGCGAAGGCGGCCUACUGGGCCGGACCUAACGCUGAGACGCGAAGGCGUGGGGAGCGAACGGG
rnacentral:rRNA from 1 species